rnacentral:rRNA from 1 species
GACGUAGGGCGCGAGCGUUGUCCGGAUUUAUUGGGCGUAAAGGGCUCGUAGGCGGCCAACUAAGUCAGACGUGAAAUCCCUCGGCUUAACCGGGGAACUGCAUCUGAUACUGGAUGGCUUGAGUUCGGGAGAGGGAUGCGGAAUUCCAGGUGUAGCGGUGAAAUGCGUAGAUAUCUGGAGGAACACCGGUGGCGAAGACGGCAUCCUGGACCGACACUGACGCUGAGGAGCGAAAGCGUGGGGAGCAAACAGG